ACGUAGGGUGCGAGCGUUAAUCGGAAUUACUGGGCGUAAAGCGUGCGCAGGCGGUUGUAUAAGUCAGAUGUGAAAUCCCCGGGCUCAACCUGGGAACUGCCUUUGAGACUGCACGGCUAGAGUUUGGCAGAGGGGGGUGGAAUUCCACGUGUAGCAGUGAAAUGCGUAGAGAUGUGGAGGAACACCGAUGGCGAAGGCAGCCCCCUGGGCCAGUACUGACGCUCAUGCGCGAAAGCGUGGGGAGCAAACAG
rnacentral:rRNA from 1 species